UUUAACGGCCGCGGUAUCUUGACCGUGCAAAGGUAGCGCAAUCACUUGUUUUUUAAAUGAAGACCCGUAUGAAUGGCUUAACGAAGGCUUAACUGUCUCCUUUUUCUAAUCAAUGAAAUUGAUCUCCCCGUGCAGAAGCGGGGAUAAAUACAUAAGACGAGAAGACCCUGUGGAGCUUAAAACAAUGGACAGCCCUUAUAAUAAACCCCACUUAACUGGGAUAAUUACUUGACCCUCUGUCCUUAUGUUUUCGGUUGGGGUGACCACGGGGUAACAAAAAGCCCCCGUAUAGUAUGAAUACCUUUCUCACAACCCAGAACUACAGUUCUAAGUAACAGAACCUCUGACUAAAAUGAUCCGGUAAUACCGAUCAACGAAUCAAGUUACCCCAGGGAUAACAGCGCAAUCCUCUCCUAGAGCCCUUAUCAACGAGAGGGUUUACGACCUCGAUGUUGGAUCAGGACAUCCUAAUGGUGCAGCCGCUAUUAAGGGUUUGUUUGUUCAACAAUUAAAGUCCU
rnacentral:rRNA from 1 species